AUUGAACGCUGGCGGCAGGCCUAACACAUGCAAGUCGAGCGGCAGCGGGAAAGUAGCUUGCUACUUUUGCCGGCGAGCGGCGGACGGGUGAGUAAUGCCUGGGAAAUUGCCCAGUCGAGGGGGAUAACAGUUGGAAACGACUGCUAAUACCGCAUACGCCCUACGGGGGAAAGCAGGGGACCUUCGGGCCUUGCGCGAUUGGAUAUGACUAGGUGGGAUUAGCUAGUUGGGGAGGUAAUGGCUCACCAAGGCGACGAUCCCUAGCUGGUCUGAGAGGAUGAUCAGCCACACUGGAACUGAGACACGGUCCAGACUCCUACGGGAGGCAGCAGUGGGGAAUAUUGCGCAAUGGGGGAAACCCUGAUGCAGCCAUGCCGCGUGUGUGAAGAAGGCCUUCGGGUUGUAAAGCACUUUCAGCGAGGAGGAAAGGUUGGUGCCUAAUACGUAUCAACUGUGACGUUACUCGCAGAAGAAGCACCGGCUAACUCCGUGCCAGCAGCCGCAGUAACAC
rnacentral:rRNA from 1 species